UACAGAGGUCCCAAGCGUUGUUCGGAUUCACUGGGCGUAAAGGGUGCGCAGGUGGUCGGGUAAGUCUGAUGUGAAAUCCCGCAGCUUAACUGCGGAAUGGCAUUGGAUACUAUUUGGCUAGAGGGUUGGAGGGGGGACUGGAAUUCUCGGUGUAGCAGUGAAAUGCGUAGAUAUCGAGAGGAACACCAGUGGCGAAGGCGAGUCCCUGGACAAUACCUGACACUGAGGCACGAAAGCUAGGGGAGCAAACAGG
rnacentral:rRNA from 1 species